rnacentral:tRNA from 1 species
GAGUGAGUGCAAUACUGCAACCUGGUUUCGGCCCAGCUUUAAAGAGUGUAAUUCUCUUCUCACUUU